AUCCAAAAAUUAUCUUGGAAUAACCAAACAUUUAUAUAUAAAAAUUAUCGGUUGAUUCACACAGAAGAAUAAAGUGGUGAUAAAAUCAACACUUUCAAGAUAUAAAAGGUCAAAAUCUUCGUCAAAACUUAAAAGUUUCGUGUGCAUUUGAAUAAGUUCACAGCAUAAUGAAAAUGAGUAGUCAAGUUAAUGUGACUACAAUUUUAUUGUUAACACUUUCCCAAAAAUGUAACCUAAUAUCGAACAGACAGACUGGUACACAGACAAGACAACAUGAUGCCCAAUACUGUAGAAGACAUGGCAUCGACAUGCAGAGAAUUUAUCAUAAUGCCACUGUUAGGGUUAAAAAAACACAACAUUGGAUACAAAAACCUUUUUUUCACUAAACUUUUGUUCCUUCAGCACUCUAUAAUAAUAAAAAAAAAGCAUUUGACAGAUUUAAUUGCUACUUACAAUAACUUAAGGCAGACGGCAAGAUAGCAACCACAAGAAAAAAUGAAACUUAAAAAAAUUGUGUAAAAUAUACUUUUAAGCAAACAUUUUAUUUCAGUCAAAUUUUUAGGUGAAAAUACAAUUCCCUAGCAGCAAUUAAUGAAAACAGCAAUUCCUCAACGAAAUAUACCUCUUUCCUAAUUUGAGUCCAUGUUAAUAAAAUGAUUUAUUUCCACAAUUUUCUAAAAUAUUUUGUUGAUUUUCUAAGAUUUAUCUCCCUUAAGUGCUGACUAGGCAUCAAUAUCCAUGACAACCAUUAGAUGUAAUAUUACAUCAAUGAUUCUAAUAAUUUUCCAUAAAGUUUGUCUGUACACACUAGUCCUCAUAAUUUUAACCAUUACUACCCUGCCCCGUUUUGAAUCUGAAAUUUCAUUCUUACUUUUAAUUUUGAAAUCUUUUUCAACUAUCCAUUUCCUACUCUUUGUCAUUUUUCAGCACUAUUGUAGGGAAACCCCCCGGAAUCAUUCAGCCAUAAAUUCAAAAUACAAUAUAGUAUUGAGAAAUCAGAAACCUCCGAUAUUGCACAUUAAAGUCAGAAACUGGCCAUGAAUUAGUUACAAAGCAUAGAGAAAUAUAUAUAGGAGGUAAAGACAUCUAUAAAUUAUAAUACUGUUAAUUAUUUCACAGCAAAAACCAUUAAUGUGUUAAUCACUUUUCCAUCAAGUGGUCAAUUGUAUUUAGAUUACUAAUUAAGCAUCUUUUAAUAAAAUUUUGACACAGAGAUAUGUCUUGUCUGUAUGUUGUUUUUUUUUAAGUACAAUACUUAGUUGAAAUUAAAUAAUCUAAACUUCCACGUGUAAAUCAUGC
rnacentral:lncRNA from 1 species